CCUACGGGUGGCUGCAGUGAGGAAUAUUGGUCAAUGGACGCAAGCCUGAACCAGCCAUGCCGCGUGCAGGAUGACGGCCCUAUGAGUUGUAAACUGCUUUUGUAAGAGGGUAAACUCAGAUACGCGUACCUGUCUGAAAGUACCGUACGAAUAAGGAUCGGCUAACUCCGUGCCAGCAGCCGCGGUAAUACGGAGGAUUCAAGCGUUAUCCGGAUUUAUUGGGUUUAAAGGGUGCGUAGGCGGUCGGAUAAGUUAGUGGUGAAAUCCCGAGGCUCAACCUCGGAAUUGCCUCUGAUACUGGUAGGCUAGAGAGUAGUUGCGGUAGGCGGAAUGUAUGGUGUAGCGGUGAAAUGCUUAGAGAUCAUGCAGAACACCGAUUGCGAAGGCAGCUUACCAAGCUACUUCUGACGUUGAGGCUCGAAAGCGUGGGUAGCAAACAGGAUUAGAUACCCCAGUAGUC
rnacentral:rRNA from 1 species